GUGGUUUCAAAUGACUAAAGCAUUAUGAAAUAAAUAACAUUUUAUGCAAUAAAUCUAGUGUUAGUUCGCUAGCUAUGCCUGCUUGUGUCAAAAAAGUAGUUAAAAAAUGAAAUAUAUCAGACAUACCAUAGAAGCAAAAUGAUGUGAUAUACUGUCCUUGGUUGAAUCUCGCCACUUUUGAACUCAGAACGCCUUUAACAGACAUUCCCAAAGCAAAUUUCAGAUAGAAACUAACAGAUAUAAAAGUUAUAAGCACGAUAUUCAUAAUUACAAGCCUUUUUCUCUAAAUUAUCACAUAAAAACCAUUUAAAAUAGAAUCUUUCGCAACAACUUUGAGCCUUUUUCGUACGCCAUGUUGAAUAGACUAUUGUGUG